AGGGAAGGGAAGGGAAGGGAAGGGAAGGGAAAGGGCACUAGGAUCUGGCUCCCUUUCCAUGUAAAUUGAAGCCAAGAAGAGAGAAGCAUGGCUAUGUCAGAGAUGCAGGCUCUUGUAUCUGACCCCCCCCCCCACAGGCUGUGGCCCCAGGAUAAAGACUUUAUAUUCCUGUAGGCUAACUAUUCCCAUUCUGGGUUUCAGGAAGGAAGGAGGGGCAAGCAUUAAAGGAAAAACCAGAACGUGUCAGCAUCCAUCCCAAGAUGUUCUCAGAAUCCCAACGAAACAGAUUUCUUUGCAACUACGAUAAUGAUUUAUCCUCUGGUGACAAGAUAUGUCUAUCAUCCAAAGCCACCCACAUUUGGGACAUGGAAGUGGUCCGUGCACAGUGACAUGUCUGGACUCAAGGGAUAGAGGAACUUAUUACUUUUCCUGGUAGCAAUGGACAAUUCAGUUAUAUGAUCCCUGGAGCUGUCCCAGUCAUGCUCUAAGCUCAGGGUAAAUGCUGUCAUUUUAUCGUACUGCGAUUCUGCAGAAAUAACUCAAGAUCUCACUGCAUAGAAGCUCCCGGUGUCCUUACCCUAACCUUGAUUCGGCAUGCUCUCCUUUUA
rnacentral:lncRNA from 1 species